GGCCGGCCUUCCCCUCCUCAUCCCGAGCCCCGUGCGGGGGUCGCAGCUCGGCUUUCCCCCCACCGCCGCCCCUCGCUGCCGCCUGCGCUUUCCCACUCUCCGAUGCUCGGCUUCUCUCGCCGCGGCACAGCGGCUCAGGUGCCCUUGGGCGACCUCACUUCCCCACUGUCACUCCCCCGCUGAGGCGGGGCGGACUUCCCCGGCACUUGCCGAAAGGUCUUUGUCUAUGAUUACUGAAGCCUCACGCACCGUGUUUUAGAAUGCCUUUAAAACGUGUUGAAGUGCUUUUUUAAAGGUUCGGACUAAAUUCCAACGCAGCCAGCACAGCCGCUUUGGUCCCUGCCCGUGAGCACGGAGCGGCUCCCGGCAGAGAGCGCAGCGCCGCCGCCGCCAUCGCGCCGCUCCUCCCCGGGGCGGAGCGCGGCCCCGGCGCGAUGGAGGCGCUGCGGCGGCCGGCGCUGCCCGAGGACGCGGUGCGCUACCGCCUGUUCGCGGCGGCGGCGGCGGGCCCGGGCGGCGAGGCGCUGCUGCGGCGCUGCGCUCAGCUGUUCCCGGUGCCUUCGCCCCGCUCCUGCCGCCUGCGUGUGGCAGCGGCAGCCGCUCCGCCUGCGCUCCGUGCCGCGCCGCGGGGAGCCGGGAGCGGGCCGGGAGGCACGGCGGGAGGAGCGCCCGGAGCGGGGGGACUGCGAGGGGAACCCGGCAGCCGGGAACCGGGAGCGUGUGAGGGAGAACCGGGAGCCUGUGAGGGGAACCGGGAGCGUGUGAGGGGGAUCCGGGACCGACGGCGUGUGAAGGCGAGACCCCGGCGCACUUGGGCGGCACCAGCGCGUUCGGGGAUAACGUGGAGGAUGAGUGGUUCAUCGUGUACCUGCUCCGGGAGAUCACCAGGGAGUUCCCGGGGCUGGCAGCCAGGAUUGAUGACCACGAUGGAGAGUUUCUCUUGAUAGAAGCAGCUGAUUUUCUCCCAAAGUGGCUGAAUCCUGAGAACAGUGAAAACAGGGCUGGAGCCUGCUUUGCUCUAUUUCCAGUCACAUCUCACAGCAGCCACUGGGCAGAGUAUAUUCUCAUUGGAGCGCUGGCAUUGCACCAGCGUCAAACCAUGACACUGAACUGAAAAUUCUUUAGAAAACAGGAGACCUUACAUGGAUCAGGAUUCUUUAUUAGAAAUUGCAGUUGUUUUCCACUCAAAUUUCCAUGCAUAACACCUUUCUCCCUUUCAGUCUGAGAUGAAAUCUUGAUAAAAACCUUUGUUUGACAGCCACUGUCCCCGCUGCAGAGAGGCCUGGAGCUUUCCUCACCUGUCCCAGGGACGGUGAGCUGCCCUCCACAGCAGCAGAGGCCACACGUUCCCCCUCAGGGGAGGAGUGGAAGGUGCCCUUGGCAGAGCACAGGCUGCUCGGGCACUGGGCUCAGGCUGCUGUCAGCUCCUGCCCCACAGCCCAUGGUGAUGGGAGGGGUGAAAAAUGCCACGUGUGCCGUGCACAGCAGUGACCCUCCAGCAAUCUUUGCAGUCCUCUCCUUGGAGCUGCUCGGGCUCCUGGGGAGCACAGGGCAGCAAAACGAGCUCAGCGCGGCCCUGCAGGGCGAGAGGCAAGAAGCAAGAGCCCAGCGUGGUCUCUUUGAGCUUUCCUUUAGGACAGGCCGGUGUGUCCCCAGCCCAGGGCACAGAGGGGCUCUCUAAAGGGUGCCACGAUGUCCCCGUGCCCACCGUGUCGGGAUCCCAGGGGGAGAGAGCCCCGGGGGCGUGGGGGCCAGGAGAGCUGUGCCCGAGAGCUGGGCCCGAGCGCGCCGCCGUGCCCGGCUGUGCGCGGGUGUUUGCUGCUGUGCCAGGGCUGAGAGCACACGUGCUGCUGUGCACGGGGCACGGGGGGUGCUGGGCACAGCUCUGGGCACAGCGACACGGGCACAUGCAGCCACACGCUCCAGCCACGGAGAGCAGGAGAUGAAUGGAAGGCAGGAGGGGUGUGUUGUAUGCAGUUCCCAUGGGCUUUACUUCAGCCACACACUAAAGGGCUGCAGGGACAAUUUUAAUUGAAUUCAUUAUCAAACAAAUCAGAGCAAGGAAACGAGAAGUUUGCCAAAAUCUAAAAAAGCACCUUCUCCACACUCUCCUCCCUUCCUCGGCUUUAUCACCAAUUCCCUCCCUCCAGAAGGAGCUGAGAGACAAAACUUUGGGAGGGGCUGAGGGUAUAAAAGGCAGAGCAUCCAUUUUGUAAACAAGCACGUGGCUGAGAGUCACAGAGACCCCCAGUGCUGUCAUUUUUCCUUAUUCUGUCCAUUGUUGUAUUUUUUGGUUAAGGAUUAAAAAGCCUGUAAAAUUUUUAAAGUGAGGGUCCUUUCUAACAUCUUCCAUGGACAGUCCAAAAGUCUCCCCUUCAGGCCACUUUGUGAUGAUUUCCAAGAGCCCAGGGCGAUUUGGAUUUCCCAAUUGAGCUUAUUGUAUAAUGUUAUUAAAAACAAAUAUAGGUAUUGGCUUUCACAUUGAUGUACUAACUUUUGUUUUGCAGGUCAUUAUUGACUACAAAAAUCCUGAUCUAGUGCAAUUUGUACUUACUGCUUUAGAUGUAGUAUAAUCUGUCACUUUAAUCAAUCUAAUGUAUGCACCCUAUAGCUUUUAUAAACAUGGAUAUAAUAGAUACUAUCUCAGACCGAAG